AGAGUUUGAUCCUGGCUCAGAUUGAACGCUGGCGGCACGCCUAACACAUGCAAGUCGAGCGGUAACAUGGCACGUAGAAAUACGAGUUGAUGACGAGCGGCGGACGGGUGAGUAACACGUAGGAACUUGCCCAGAAGAGGGGGAUAACCAAGGGAAACUUUGGCUAAUACCGCAUAAUACUCGGAAGAGGAAAACUAUGA
rnacentral:rRNA from 1 species